rnacentral:rRNA from 1 species
AGUGAACGCUGGCGGUAGGCCUAACACAUGCAAGUCGAACGGCAGCACAGUAAGAGCUUGCUCUUACGGGUGGCGAGUGGCGGACGGGUGAGGAAUACAUCGGAAUCUACUUUUUCGUGGGGGAUAACGUAGGGAAACUUACGCUAAUACCGCAUACGACCUACGGGUGAAAGCAGGGGAUCUUCGGACCUUGCGCGAUUGAAUGAGCCGAUGUCGGAUUAGCUAGUUGGCGGGGUAAAGGCCCACCAAGGCGACGAUCCGUAGCUGGUCUGAGAGGAUGAUAAGCCACACUGGAACUGAGACACGGUCCAGACUCCUACGGGAGGCAGCGGUGGGGAAUAUUGGACAAUGGGCGCAAGCCUGAUCCAGCCAUACCGCGUAGGUGAAGAAGGCCUUCGGGUUGUAAAGCCCUUUUGUUGGGAAAGAAAAGCAGCAGGUUAAUACCCCGCUGUUCUGACGGUACCCAAAGAAUAAGCACCGGCUAACUUCGUG